CUUGAGAAAAGAGUAAUUAUUUAGAACUCUUCACUUCACCUCCAAUUUCAAUAAAAUUAGACUCAUUCGAUACGUUUUCACAUGAAAUAAAAGAAUCUGGCAGGAAGUGUCAGACUACUCCAUGAAUCGAGAUAUCAAGCGUUGAAGUUGACGAUUAUUGAGGUCAUCAGGAGGGAUCAAUUCGCAACAAUCACGGAGGUCAAGCAAGGUUCACCGGAGUCGCGACUUGGAUAGGGGAACGCUUGAAAAUUUCCGAAAAAAAAAAUUCCUAAAAAAUGGAAUUGUUUUUGCAAAAAUUGUUUUUAAAAAUAUUACAAAAAUGUUGUUUUGCUUACGUAGAUUCCAUUUGAAAGAUCCAUGUGAAAAAAUGCAAUAAAUUAUAUUUAACUAGAGAUAUAGGAAAUGGAUUCAAUGUGUUCAAUUUCUAUAAAAUUCCAUAUCUUUUUCGCGGAUUCAGAAACUUGAUUCAUAUAAAUUUAUCCAAUCUAAUCAUUUGUCGUUUACUGGAUAAUUAUAUAAAAUAUUUGCAUAGUUAAAAUAUGAUAAUGUUAAAAUCUUUUGCCUUAC